rnacentral:rRNA from 1 species
UUUCAAAGAUUUAGCCCUGCAUGUUUAAGUAUAAGCAAUUAUACAGCGAAACUGCGAAUGGCUCAUUAUAUAAGUUAUCGUUUAUUUGAUAGUACCUUACUACUUGGAUAACCGUGGUAAUUCUAGAGCUAAUACAUGCUAAAAAUCCCGACUCCGGAAGGGAUGUAUUUAUUAGAUUAAAAACCAAUGCCCUCUGGGCUCCUUGGUGAUUCAUAAUAACUUUUCGAAUCGCAUGGCCUUGCGCCGGCAAUGGUUCAUUCAAAUUUCUUCCCUAUCAACUUUCGAUGUUUGGGUAUUGGCCAAACAUGGUUGCAACGGGUAACGGAGGGUUAGGGCUCGACCCCGGAGAAGGAGCCUGAGAAACGGGUACUACAUCCAAGGAAGGCAGCAGGCGCGCAAAUUACCCAAUCCCGAUUCGGGGAGGUAGUGACAAUAAAUACUGAUACAGGGCUCUUUUGGGUCUUGUAAUUGGAAUGAGUACAAUUUAAAUCCCUUAACGAGGAACAAUUGGAGGGCAAGUUGGCCCCCCCCCCCCCAA